rnacentral:lncRNA from 7 species
ACACUUCCGGCCGGCGGUCGGUCCGGGUCCGGGUUGUGUCGCGUGGCUGAGGGGCGGCUGCCGUGGGGGCUUCGCACCGCGGGUCGGCGGCUCUCGGAGUUCUGCAGCUCCCGCAGCGCGUCCCGUCCCGUCCGGUCCGGUCCCGUUCCGUCCGUCCGUCCGUCCGUCCGUCCCGCCGCGCUGAGAGCUUCGCGGAGCUGCGCCGGUGGCAGCGGGAGCGCUGUGGCGUCAUCAGAACGCGCGAACUGCAAAAGCAUUGGAGAGAAGUUGGAUCGCAUCAAGGGUGCAUGUUUUUGGAUGCUGCUUCGGUAGGGAUGAGCAUAAGGAAGGAGAAGAAUACUUGGUGCCCUGCUUUACAACCUACAGUGAAGUACUGAAUGUGGAGAUGCUGUCACUCCAUCAUAGAAGGCCACCAGAUUGGUUGGGCAUGGUAAAGCCAUGCUGGUUGUCUUGGAUCACAUGCUCCUUCCUCAUGUGAUCUAGCAUGUCUCCGAGGUGGAUCUGUUCUUCACCAUCUUCUUCAUAGUUACACAAUUGAAUCAAAUAACUGGUGUUGCUGUCAUGAAUAAAACCUCUUUGUUUUCUACUCCUGCUGCAGCUGCAGCAGCUGC